UUUAAAUCCACGAAAAUCGACUGAUCAAACUAAUUUUCCAAAGUCAUUCUUCCGUUACUAACAACGAAGCAUCUUUAUUGGUUGACUUACUAAGCAACAACCAAUUGGAAGUAACAACUGUUUCUGACAUCAUUUUAAGCUUUGGAAAUGAUAUCGGCGGAAGUUUUUGUCAUCAACUGAUUCCGAGAUGAUACUUCUUAUUUGUUAUAUCGCACGAUAUAAAUCAUUUGAACUGGUUUAUUUCAAUAAAUUUUUACAAUAAAUACACAACUGUAAAGUAACUGAAAACAUCUACAUUGUGCCAAUCUAUUGUGUUGAGUAGAGGGUGUAAGCGCUGAAAUUUUGCAAGGACGACCUGUUUAAAGUAUCUAACAUGAUUGUCUUGCUUCGUUCGUUUCUUCUAAUCUCGGCAUGGAUAUGCGUUUGCCUGGCAUCGAUUACAGUUCAUGCACCUUUCAAUAUGGCAGGAAUU